rnacentral:misc_RNA from 1 species
GCCUUGGGACAUGAAUUCUCCUGACAAGCUGUAUACUUCAUUAAAUGGGGAUAUUGAUAACAAAAUAUCUAGUUUACAAACAAACUCAGAGCAGCAAGAUGGUAGACUCGACUCCAAUUCCUUGUCAAAGAAUGCAGCAAACAGUGCAUUUUUCUGCUCAGAAACUAGAAGCACCAGUCCUUCAAAGGAAGUCGCAGCUCCUCCAGAGAGUAGAUUAGAUACAGAACGGAAGCCGUCUGCUCAGGCAACUGGAACCAAUAAUGGUUGUAAUAGCAGAGAGGAGACAAAAUCACAUGUAGAUGCUUCAUGUGUCAGAGAAGACUCAUCAUCCUUCAAGGUUUUCCAGGUUGGUGAUCAAGGUGAGGAUGUCAGGGGGAGUGGUGUUGAGGAGAAAAUGGUGGAUAUAAUGGACACUGAUAGAGAUGAAGCUAAAGUUGAGAGGAACCUCAAUGAAGAUUCCCUGAGGAUGGAUGCAGAAGCUUCCACAGUUAGAGACUUAAAUGUCAAAGGCCUUGACUGCUGGCAGUCAAAUAGCAGAAAACGGUCUUACUUAGAUCUUUGUGAGAUAGCCCCUCAGACUUCUAGUAGCACAGGUCAAAAAAUGCUAUUGGAUACUGUAGACGGAGAGAUUAUUAGCAAGAAGCUGAAAACUGGUUUCUGUGAACAAUAUGGGUGUACCAGUUCGAGAGAGGGAAAUUCAUUGAGUGAAGGUUUUGCUUCACAGAUAUGUGAUUUGGG